GGAUGGAUCUGAUGUUUUCCUUGCUGAUAUUCCUCUGGGGCUAAGGUGAGGCUCAGGGAUUGGAGCAAGGGCGCCUUUUCAAAGUAUCUGAGAGAUCUCCAGAGCUUUGUUCAUGAGGAGAUUGCUGGCCCCUGCCUUGGACUUGCCCUGAUGGGAAGCAGAAGGGCACAGAGGUCAAUGGACUCAAAAGACAAUGGGCU